rnacentral:rRNA from 1 species
UACGAGGGGGGCGAGCGUUGUUCGGAAUUAUUGGGCGUAAAGAGCUCGUAGGCGGCUCGUCACGUCGGCUGUGAAAACCCGGGGCUCAACCCUGGGCCUGCAGUCGAUGCGGGCGAGCUAGAGUUCGGCAGGGGAGACUGGAAUUCCUGGUGUAGCGGUGAAAUGCGCAGAUAUCGUAAGGAAGACCAGUGGCGAAGGCGGGCCUCUGGACAGUUCCUGACGCUGAGGCACGAAGGUCAGGGGAGCAAACGGG